CCCCAGCGCCACAAGUGGUAGCCACAAUUAUUGGGCCUAAAGCGUCCGUAGCCGGUCUUGUAAAUUCUUUGUGAAAUCAUCAUGCUCAACAUGAUGGCGUGCAGGGGACACUGCAAGACUUGGGACCGGGAGGAGUCAGGGGUAUUCCAGGGGUAGCGGUAAAAUGUUAUAAUCCUUGGAGGACCACCUGUGGCGAAGGCGCCUGACUAGAACGGAUUCGACGGUGAGGGACGAAAGCUAGGGGAGCGAACCG
rnacentral:rRNA from 1 species